CACAUCCUAUGUAUUACAAUUUUAUCUCUUUUUUUCAGAUAUAUACAAAGCUAAAUUGAAGGAGGUCAUGGUCAUAGCCCGAACAAACAAGUUUUGGACUCAGGCUCAAUUGCUUACUCGUAUGAAAGUGAAGAUAAACAUCAUUCAGGAUUAUGAGAAUGGAAAGGCAAUUCCAAACAAAAAGAUGAUGUCUAAACUAGAGAAAGCUCUUGGACUGAAACUUCAAUGAAAGAAAUAUAGUUUUGUGGUAAAAGUGGAUCAUUGUUGUAUUUUUAAUAAGUCCCAAAAGUGGUCACGUUGUUGAACUUUUCUCUUUAAUGUUUUUCUUUGAUAAUUGUGGUGCUUAUAUAUUUGGAUUAGGAGUUUCUUUAAUUUCUUCCUCUAUUUGGAUUUCUUUUCUCUGUUGUGAUUCUUGAUUUAGUUCAUGAUGCAAAACAAAUGAAAUUUUAUGACUUUUACUUC